rnacentral:rRNA from 1 species
GACGAACGCUGGCGGCGUGCUUAACACAUGCAAGUCGAACGGAAAGGCCCUGCUUUUGUGGGGUGCUCGAGUGGCGAACGGGCGAGUAACACGUGAGUAACCUGCCCUUGACUUUGGGAUAACUUCAGGAAACUGGGGCUAAUACCGGAUAGGAGCUCCUGCUGCAUGGUGGGGGUUGGAAAGUUUCGGCGGUUGGGGAUGGACUCGCGGCUUAUCAGCUUGUUGGUGGGGUAGUGGCUUACCAAGGCUUUGACGGGUAGCCGGCCUGAGAGGGUGACCGGCCACAGUGGGACUGAGAUACGGGCCAGAGUCAUACGGGGGGAAGCAGUGGGGAAUAGUGCACAAUGGGCGGAAGCCUGAUGCAGGAACGCCGCGUGCGGGAUGACGGCCUUCGGGUUGUAACCCGCUUUAGCCUGUGACGAAGCGUGAGUGACGGUAAUGGGUAAAGAAGCAACGGCUAACUACGUG